rnacentral:rRNA from 1 species
GAUGAACGCUGGCGGCGUGCUUAACACAUGCAAGUCGAACGGAAAGGCCCUGCUUUGGUGGGGUGCUCGAGUGGCGAACGGGUGAGUAACACGUGAGUGAUCUGCCCUGGACUUUGGGAUAACUCCGGGAAACUGGGGCUAAUACCGGAUAGGACCACCUGUUGCAUGCCGUUGGGUAAAAAUUUUCCGGGGUGGGAUGAUGGACUCGGCCUUUAUCCUUGUGGGGGGGGGAAUGGGCUUUACCGGCGUUUACAGGGAUACCCCCUCAGAGAGGGUGACCGCACAUUUUGACUAAGAUAUGCGCCCCACACUUCCUACGAGGAAGCACAGGGGAAUAUUUUGCAAUAUGCGCAAGAACUGCUGAUGCAGACACCCCGCGUGCGAUGACACCCUCUUCGUUGUUGAACUCCUUUCUCUCCUGACGAAAAGCUUGUGUGACGGUACUGGGAAAAGAAGCACCGGCUAACUACGUGCCAGCAGCCGCGGUAAUACGUAGGGUGCGAGCGUUGUCCGGAUUUACUGGGCGUAAAGAGCUCGUAGGUGGUUGAUCGCGUCGGAUGUGUAAUCUCGCGGCUUACUGCUGAGACUGCAGGCGAUACGGGCAUAACUUGAGUGCUUUAGGGGAGACUGGAAUUCCUGGUGUAGCGGUGGAAUGCGCAGAUAUCAGGAGGAACACCGAUGGCGAAGGCAGGUCUCUGGGCAGUAACUGACGCUGAGGAGCGAAAGCAUGGGUAGCGAACAGGAUUAGAUACCCUGGUAGUCCAUGCCGUAAACGGUGGGCGCUAGGUGUGAGUCCCUUCCACGGGGUUCGUGCCGUAGCUAACGCAUUAAGCGCCCCGCCUGGGGAGUACGGCCGCAAGGCUAAAACUCAAAGGAAUUGACGGGGGCCCGCACAAGCGGCGGAGCAUGUGGAUUAAUUCGAUGCAACGCGAAGAACCUUACCUGGGCUUGACAUACACCAGAUCGCCGUAGAGAUACGGUUUCCCUUUGUGGUUGGUGUACAGGUGGUGCAUGGUUGUCGUCAGCUCGUGUCGUGAGAUGUUGGGUUAAGUCCCGCAACGAGCGCAACCCUUGUCUUAUGUUGCCAGCACGUGAUGGUGGGGACUCGUGAGAGACUGCCGGGGUUAACUCGGAGGAAGAAGGGGAUGACGUCAAAUCAUCAUGCCCCUUAUGUCCAGCGCUUCACACAUGCUACAAUGGUCGGUACAACGCGCAUGCGAGCCUGUGAGGGUGAGAGAAUCGCUGUGAAAGCCGGUCUCAGUUCGGAUUGGGGUCUGCAACUCGACCCCAUGAAGUCGGAGUCGCUAGUAAUCGCAGAUCAGCAACGCUGCGGUGAAUACGUUCCCGGGCCU